UACGUAGGGGGGCUAGCGUUGUCCGGAAUCAUUGGGCGUAAAGAGCGUGUAGGCGGUCCGGUAAGUCCGCUGUGAAAGUCGGGGGCUCAACCCUCGGAUGCCGGUGGAUACUGUCGGGCUUGAGUACGGAAGAGGCGAGUGGAAUUCCUGGUGUAGCGGUGGAAAUCGCGCAGAUAUCAGGAGGAACACCAACUUGCGAAGGCAGCUCCGCUGGGACGUUACUGACGCUGAGACGCGAAAGCGUGGGAGCA
rnacentral:rRNA from 1 species